ensembl:lncRNA
CAUUGAGAGGUCCUCUCUCUAAAAGGAGCAUUGAGAGGUCCUCUCUCUAAAAGGAGCAUUGAGAGGUCCUCUCUCUAAAAGGAGCAUUGAGAGGUCCUCUCUCUAAAAGGAGAACGGAGAGGUCCUCUCUCUAAAGGGAGCAUUGAGAGGUUAAGUUCUGCUCAUCUCCCUCUUCUCCCAAGCAUUCCUAGCUGUGGUGACACCGUGCCAAAGAGUAUAUGUUAUGUAAUAGCAUGACUGGUCAGAGGGGCAAGUCACUAAAAGCCCACAGGGCAGUCUUCAGGGCACAUCCUCAAGUGUAGAGUGUAGAGUGUGAAUGUGUGUUAGAGAGAAGAGAGAUGGUAUGAAUGUGUGUUAGAGAGAAGAGAGAUGGUAUGAAUGUGUGUUAGAGAGAAGAGAGAUGGUAUGAAUGUGUGUUAGAGAGAUGGUAUGAAUGUGUGUUAGAGAGAAGAGAGAUGGUAUGAAUGUGUGUUAGAGAGAAGAGAGAUGGUAUGAAUGUGUGUUAGAGAGAAGAGAGAUGGUAUGAAUGUGUGUUAGAGAGAUGUUAUGAAUUUGUGUUAGAGAGAAGAGAGAUGGUAUGAAUGUGUGUUAGAGAGAUGGUAUGAAGGUGUGUUAGAGAGAAGAGAGAUGGUAUGAAUGUGUCAGAGAGAAGAGAGAUGGUAUGGAUGUGUCAGAGAGAAGAGAGAUGGUAUGAAUGUGUGUUAGAGAGAUGGUAUGAAUGUGUCAGAGAGAAGAGAGAUGGUAUGAAUGUGUCAGAGAGAAGAGAGAUGGUAUGGAUGUGUCAGAGAGAAGAGAGAUGGUAUGAAUGUGUGUUAGAGAGAUGGUAUGAAUGUGUGUCAGAGAGAAGAGAGAUGGUAUGAAGGUGUGUUAGAGAGAAGAGAGAUGGUAUGAAGGUGUGUUAGAGAGAAGAGAGAUGGUAUGAAUGUGUGUUAGAGAGAAGAGAGAUGGUAUGAAUGU